UAGUGAUGGAAAAAUGAAUUCACCAGCAAAGGAACAAUAUGGACAAUAACAAUACAUUAGUAAGUGCCUUGUAUUAACUUUCUCUACAUGAUAAAUGACAUUUGCAGAGUGAGAGAACUC